rnacentral:lncRNA from 1 species
CCCUGCGUAGUUCAGGCUGGCCUUGAACUCACGGUCUAGCCCAGGCUGGUGUCAAACUUGUGGUAAUCCUUCUGCCUCAUCCUCCCACUAAGUGCUAGGAUUACAGGCAUGCACCACCACACCUGGAUCAGAUAGAUGAUUUUAAUGUCCGUUUGGGGAAAUUUUAUUCAAGUCAGCUCCUAGAGGAUCUUGAAUGCUUACCUAAUAAAAUCAGAUUUAAUUAUAUAUGGGAUGGGGACCCAUAACAGAUGGUGAUACAUGUUGAAGCCUCGUUCUGUAUCAGGAACUGUCUCUGAGCAUUUCAUUUACUCUUCAUAGUAACUUAAUGAGAUAGAUCAGAUUAUUGUCCUUUUUUUUUUUUUUUUUGGUACUGGGAAUCAAACUCAGGACCUUGCACUUGCCAGGCAGGUGCUUGUGCCACUGAGCUAAAUCCCCGGCUACUGUCCUCAUUUAAAAGGUGUGAAAUUCAGGCAUGAAGAAAUUGAAUACUUUGCCCAAGGAUCAUGCUGUUGUUAUAAGGGACAGAGCUUGGUGGGUAACUCUGCUCUAAGACUCAUACCCCAGCUCUUCCACGAGACAUGCAUGCCUGAGAGAGAUGGUCACAGCCACGCAUCAGAAGAUGUAUCUGGUUGCAGGAUGGACUGAAAGCUGCUUGGUUAAGAGGAUCAGAAUUAAGGAAGCAGUUAUGUGCACACGCCACUUGCGACUUCUGUAGCCCUUACAACUGCGAGAGGAGAUACAGCCAGCCCAGGGGGCGCAAGAGACAACCAUCUUUGUCCCAGACGACCCUGCUGACUGCCCCUGAAGCUCUGCAAGUGGGUGCAAGUGGCCUUUGCUCUGUGAGGGAAUGAAGACGUCUGCCAGGUGUGCUGGUUACAGAUUGCCCUCACUCUCAGUGCACCCCACUCUGACCUGUGACUCGCAGUAGAAUUGCUUUCACUGGUUCAGUUUAAAGGGAGCUGGCAUUAAGCUUUUGGGGUGGAGGGCUCUGCAGUGACAUUGUAGAAAAGGUCCCCUGGCCAUGCCCAGACACCCAUCACAGGGUGCUGCCCACCUAUGCCCGCCCCCUGUGUGAGGAGUGCGGCCCAUGGAGUGGCGGAGCAGCUGUGGCCGGGCAUACCCGGUAGCUACUGGGCUGAAGCGCACCUGCUCUGAAGAGAUCUGUAAUCCCAGCACUCGGGUGGGCUGAGGCAGGAGGAUCAUUGCAAGUUUGAGACCAGCCUGGGCUACAAAGUGAGCUCAAGGCCAGCCUGAACUGCAUAGAGAGAACCUGUCUCAAAAAGGGAGAAAAAAAAAAAAUGAAGAGCUCUGAACCCUCCCUAGUUUGUCCUCCUUUGGGUCCCCGCCCCCGACAGCCGCAGAACUGAGUUUCCUUACAUCUUGCAUCACUGCCAUAGUGGUUAGCAGUUUCUGACCUUAAACUUCCCCUCGGUGUGUGAGUCAGCCAGCUCCAGUUAGCUAUCCCACAUGUAUGCACAUCUCGGAACCUCACACUGCAUCUGAUAAGUCUAUACAGUUUCACUCAUCAGCUUAAGCAUAAUAAUUAGUUUAAAAAGUAACCCCAGUGUAAACCAGGCAUGGUGGUGUACACCUGUAAUCCCAGCACUGGGGAGGCUGAGGCGGGAGGAU